ACGUAGUGGGCUCAAAUCGAAGUUUUAACGAAGAAGUUACAUCAAAGGAAGUGCAGUGGCACAACCGUAAAUAUUAUGAAGUCAGAUUUGAAAAACAAUAAGAUUUUUUUUUCCUCUCUCUCUCUCUCUCUCUCUCUCAUGCAACCUCUCUCUCAAGCGAAUACAGCACCGACCAUUCUUUGGCCAACAACUCCUCCGUCCGGCCAUUGUUGGCCACGAGACCAACUCUGUUAGAAUUGUCUCGACUUCCUCUUUCCGACCCAUCCUUUCUCUAGCGAGCUUAGCCGCUCCUUCGCGGGCGAUAGCUCAACAAAGUUCCG
rnacentral:lncRNA from 1 species